GCUGGCUAUAAUUCAUCAAUAUAAUUGAGAACUAGCAUGAACAAACUUUUGACUGAACAAGUUUUAAACAUGAACAAACAUUUCUGAACCAACUGGUAAUGAAGGUGAUCAGCCUUUCAUACCUGACUUAUACAUGCAAGAUGUACAGAGUACAAUUUUCAUGGCAAUCAGCAAUGAUUAACCAUAAGCUUGAAUAAAACACUCUUAUUAGAGUUAAGUAAGAACAAACUUGCCUGAACCGUUGAUUACCGCAACGCAAUUUAUAACGCUUUACCCGAAGACCUAAUAUUAAUAAUAUAGAUCUCCAAUAUUAGAAUAAUAUCAUCACAGUAUAAUACUGUUAUAUUUAUAUACACAGAAUAACCUAAACACAUAACACAUAACCCUAUCAGUCUAUACAGCACAUAAGACUUAAUAUCAGGUCAAACUAUUUCAGUCUGACUUAAAACUGACACCAUUCUAUCAUCCCGACGGUCUAGUCGGACAAUACUCGAGUUUAAGUUCAAUUAAACUCUUCCUAAACACUUAACAAUUAUCACAGAUAAUUUUCUUAUCAGUCAAAACAUUUUUCCUAGGCUCGUAAUAAUUUUCGGAUAAUUAUUACCAUUUAUCAUGAUUUUCCAAUCAUUAAUAUCGUAUUUAAAUGAAUUAAAUACCACAUAAUUCCUUAAUCAUUAAUAUUCAUUUAAUAUAAAAUAUUAAUGAAAAUCCUUACAUAAUAUUAUAAUGUAAUUAUAAUAUUUCAAAAUAUUUUUAAUACCUUAAAAUCAUAAUUAUUUGAUUUUUAAACACUUAAAUCCAUUAUCCGAUAAUUAAUAUUAAUAUUAAAAUAUUAAUAUUUUCAUGCCAAAAUAUCAAAAGUUAUAUUUUAUAACUUAAAAUAUUUUUAUAACACUUAAAUCAUUUUUUUAUGAUUUUUAAAACAUUAAUUCUAUUUUUCCUUAAUUUAUUUAAUAUAUUUAUUAAAUAAAUUAAUUACCAUUAAUAAUAAAUUAUUAAUGAAAUUCAUCACAAAAUAUUAAAAGUCAUCAAAAAUAACUUAAAAUAUUUUCUAACACCAUAAUAUAAUUUUUCAUGAUUUUUCAUGAAUUAAAACUAUUUUUAAAUAAUUUAUCUAAUAUUAUAAUUAAAUAAAUAAAUACCAUUUAUAUUCCAAAAAUAUUAAAUAUUUUCGAAAUAUACUUAAAAUAAUUAAAAACUAUUUUUCGGACUUUAAAAUAAUUUUUCAGAAUUUAAUAUGUAUUUUUAAUAAUUAAAAAUCUAAUUUUUCUAAUUUUUUUUAUUUCAUUUUCUGCAUUUUCCGAAAAUAAGAGUCGCUAAAGGGGCCCUAUAGCGACAGAACCGGCGCUAUAGGUGUUCUUGGUGUUCUUGAGCAAGAACCCAGAAACGCAUGUCAAACUUCGAGUGGGCCUGUUUGACCAACAUUUAAUUAUAGAUCUUAAGGUUUUCUGGGCUGACUGAAAGUUUGAUCAUAUAGAGGACAUGUAAUAAUACAUUUAUCAAUCAACAAGUUGGUCAUAUGACAAAAUAACAUGAAGAUCUGAGCAACAGAACUCGUUGUCAGACGUCACCUGGGUUUUUCCAGAAACCCAGGCAGUUCGACCUGGUACUUUCCAGUCCAAAUUGAUCUAGGUUCUGAUCAUCUUUUUGGUUGUUUUAUGAUUCAUAAAGGUAUUAUCCAGGACAAGGAACAACGAUAUAUCAAGAUCUCAGUCCCAAAAACAACAGAUCCACAGGUUAUGACACGGUCAAACCUUGUCAGAAUUCAUGCAAAAACCAUUUCUGGAAUUUUCCAGAAUUUCAAGUUAUGGUCGAGAGGUCUACUUUGACCUCUUGUAUUAAUCAUCCUGUUAACUGUUUAUGGAAUAUUAUGGCAUGUAUUCAUAGUAUAUAUAACAUACUAUAAUCUAGUUACAACAACAUUAACAAACAUCAACGUAUCUGACAAAUCCAGACAUUCAAAAUUCUUGUCAGACGCUCAUUACCACUUUCUGGGUUUACCCAGAAAGUUCAUGGUCAUGCCCGGUCAACGGGUUUUGACCAUGAAUAACUUCAAAUCUAGACACCAUCUAGCUGUACUACCACUUGAAGAUUAAAGCCAACAUACCAGGAUACAAAUAACAACUAUUACAACACAAAAAUCAAAAACGAGCGACGAUUUAUGGCUCCUGACAUUAGCUUGUCAGACCAUAAAUCAAGCUCUUGGACAGUUUUUCAAAAACUCCAAUUUAAAGCAUUAUAAUGUUAUGGAUCCAUGAUAGAUCAUCAUAGAUCUUCAAUAAACAUCCAAUAGCAAUAUUCUAAACACAAAAACACAAAAAAUUCUCAAGCAUACAAGAUCAAAAAUAAAAAUUUGGUUAUACCUUUCUAGCUUCGAUUCUUGGUCUUAACCCUCCAAUUUGUUUAUGGUUGAUCUAAGGAAAGUUUGUGGGACUGAUCUACUUCUAAUUUUUGUGGGUUUGAGAGAGAAUGAUAGUUGGUGAGAGCUUUCAAGCAAAAUGGCUAAAAUUAUUAACUUUCUCUCUCCAAAUCCAUUUAUAUAUUGCCUAGAUUCAUGUAUGGUUAAUAUGUGUUGUCAAAUGGAGUGUCAAUGGCUGAGAUUUUAAGCCACCAAGUCAACAAAGUUGGUGACCUAACACAUAUUCAUCAAGAUUUGCAAGUUACUUCUAAUUUAUACACAAAGGGCAUUUUUGGUCAUUUCCAUGCUAUUUUAAUUCUAAAAUUGGUAUUUGCUACAAACCCUUAGGGUUUAGGGUUUGUUAGGGUUUAGGGUUUAACCCUUACAGAUUUAGCAUGGAUUUCUAAGAUUUUCUAAUUAGAUUUUAAAAUAGAAAAUCAUGAUUUUUGAAUUAUGAUUAGAGCUUCCUAAUUAUAUCUUAAUUUCCUAAUCAUAAAUCAAUCUUUGCUAAUUAGGACUAAUUUAUCCUAAUUAAAAUUACUAAUUUAGCACUUAGGGUCAAAUUUGUACAUUAUAAUUUAUAACCCAUAAAUUAGGGUUUUGAAUAGAAAAUAAUCUUUUAAAUUUAGAAACUAGAUUUCCUAAUCAGAUUAGGGUUUCUAAUAUCUUGAAAAUUAGGAUUUAUAAUUCCUAAUUAAUAUUGCUAAUUUGGCAAUUAAAUCCACAACUGUACAUUAGGGUUCCUGACGGAACAAUUUAAAGUUCGAUAAUUUGAAAUUAGGAUUUGCUAAUUAAUUAAGCGUUACCCUAAUUAAUAUUAUAAUAAUAGCACUAAAGCAUUAAAAUUCUCCGUUAAGUUCCCAGAUUAGGGUUUCAAAUUACCGAAAUCUGAAAUUAGGAUUUUCAGAACAAGUAUUAGGGUUUUCUAAUAAACAAUUAAGGUUUCAGGUAAUUCAUUAGGGUUUUCCCUAAUUAAUAUAUAAUUAAUAACGUUAAACCUUGUACAUAGCAUUGCAUUCCCAAUCUAAGGUUUUUAAUAUCCGAAUUAGGGUUUCGGAUUCCCGAAACUGAAAUUAGGGUUACUAAAACCAGUUUCUAGGGUUUCUUAUCAGACGUUAAGGUUUUCUAACUGAACGUUGGUGUUCUUAAUAUACGAUUAGGGUUUGACACAUAUAUAAUUUAUCUGGUCAACCCAUGACCCUUAACCACAUUCUGUACACUUACAUAACCAUAAACACAACACAUAUUCACAUAAAUCCUUAAUCCUGAAUAAUUCACCUAAAUCCUUCACCGAAUUUUGAAAUCCUCAAAAUUCAAUCCCAAUAACAUCAAACGCAUACACUUAUUUUCUGUCUAGGUCUAUUAUUUGAUCUUAAAUCAAUCUUUUAAGAUUUUAAUAAAUUGUCCAAAUUAUCGGGUUGUCACAUUCACCCCUCCUUUUAAGAAUUUCAUCCCCGAAAUUCACCUUACACCUUACACCGUGCACCUUACACCAUUCACACAUAUCACAUGCUACCCAAUACACCACUCACAAGAGUACAAUGUUUCAAAUUGUGCUGAGGUGUCAUAUAGACCAUGAACACAUAGAUUUAACGGUAUUGAUCAUAUCGCAAACAAUAUAUUACUUGGUCUGUUUACAAUCACAAAGAAGGUAAACUACCGUUGCUAGUACUUUAGGUGAUUAGCCCAUCGUACUCUUACGUCAUGUAUAACGUAUUAAUCAUUUUUAGCGAAUAUUUACGCUACUAGAUUGGAUUAUUUAUCCAAACAUUAUCGUUCACCUCAGUCUUAUCAUAGGAUUCCACACCAAAACAAUUUGGUUCGGGAAUUUCUUUCAAUAAACACUUGGAGUUUUUAUAACAUUAGUCUAGCUGAAUCAAAUAGCAUAGACUCAUAUCAAUAAUUCAAUUUAAUCGAAUUAUUUAGGUGUAGCCAAACCCCGUUGGCAAAUUAAAAUUUUUGAAAACAUUUUUGAGAAUGACGUCAUGAUGCCGCACUGUAUUUACAGUCCGUUGAGGAUUCCGUCAUUUGGUGAUUUUAUCAUGCUACAUCAUACCAUAGUGGAAUAGUGACUUUAUGUCAAAUUCACACUAAGUAAUACUGCAUUGAUGACUCCAUCAUUUUUAUCAUCUCUGCACCAGGUUACAUUUGCGUCUAGCCGAAAUAAGUAGCAUAGACUGUACUUUAAACCGUUUCAAAAAUGGUUAUGAGUCUACAUUUUUUAUUUUUUUUUCAAAAUGCACAUAGUGCGUAUUUAGUUUGAUCUCAAAAUUUCGAAGUUUAGCAUAGCUAGGAGUUUAGGAAAACCUAAUGCCUCCACUAACAAUCAUUUGCUUAAACAUUCUAUCUAUUCCUAUUAUCCUUAACACUUCAUUCACACACAACUAUACCCAGUUCAUAAAACCACACUUAUGAGUUCAUAGCCUGGCCACAAUUAUAUGAGUUUAAGAACUUAUCCUAGUCUGACGUUUGGCGUCCGUUUACUGAGGGGUUCAUAAACGUUUCAUAUAACUAUGAAUCAAGUAUGUCACAUAAGUAUGAGUUUUAAGAACUCGUACUUAAUCCUAUAUUCUCUACCUAUGACCUAUCUAUUUGUUAUACACAUGAGAAAGGAAUCACCCUCUUAACCUGCAUAUAGCAAAUAGCGCGACACAAACAUUUCAAUGAUUAUCAAUGCCAGAAAUUAAGUGGUUGUCAAACCAAACUCGGCCACUAAUCAAUAUAGGAAACUAAGUGAACAAUUCCCCGCCCAUACAAAGAAUUGGUCAACCUAACCACUACAUCAACCAGGAAGCUAAGUGACUCUAAAACCAAGUACAAAUUCCCCGCCCAUACAAGGAAUCAUACAACUCAGCUGCUGACAUGAGUCCUCAAUUGAAAUCCCCACCUAAUCUUAACCCUUUUUUUCCAUAUGAAUUUCAUUUAAUCCAUAUCCAUAAUCCACAACUCUUUCAUGAGCUUUUCAUAGUACAAUUUCAUAGUACAACUGAUACACAGCAUUUUGCUGUAGACUUUUCAAUCAUCAGAUUGAUUCUUUCUGGUUGUCAUAACCUUAUCAGAUCACGGGGUGAUCUCAUCGUAUAUAUUACGAUUCAAUUCUAUGACUUGAUCGUUUUCUUUUACGAUUUCCUAUCACUGCACUACUGUUCACCACUUCUGUUCACCACUAUUACCAGAGUUAGGGAACUCUGUGUCUUUACACUCGCUGAGAUUCAUCUUUGAAUCUUAUCGACCAACUAACUCUAUUUGAGUUAGUACUUAAUCCUAAUCACUACGGUUAUUGGUCUCAGGUAUUACUACCUAAGCUUCAUAACCAAUAGCUUUGAUACCAACUGUAGCAUCCCCGAAUCCUGGCCCCAAAUCGCCGCGGAUUUGGUACACUAAUCAUUCUAUAACUGUUUGCGGAAGAUAUAAACAUAAAUUGUUUAUACAUUAAACUUACACACUUUUUCCCAAAAUUGAGUAACCUUAACUUAAACACAAUUCAUAAACUUUCUAACAUAUAACACAUUUAUCAAACUAUACUAUUACAAAAUAGCCGCACAUUUUAUCCAAGCUGAACUUGGCAUUAACCUUUUCCUGUAUCCAAACGCAUUCGCCUUAUCUGCAAUGUUUUAUCAUGAUAUAGCAAGGGUGAGCAUGAAAGUUGCCCAGCAAGUUUAAAUACAAUUUAAGGAUAUAUCAUGAUUGAAAGAGUCAGAAUAAAGAGCUGGCUAUAAUUCAUCAAUAUAAUUGAGAACUAGCAUGAACAAACUUUUGACUGAACAAGUUUUAAACAUGAACAAACAUUUCUGAACCAACUGGUAAUGAAGGUGAUCAGCCUUUCAUACCUGACUUAUACAUGCAAGAUGUACAGAGUACAAUUUUCAUGGCAAUCAGCAAUGAUUAACCAUAAGCUUGAAUAAAACACUCUUAGUAGAGUUAAG
rnacentral:lncRNA from 1 species